AGCAGGAAGACUCCACUUGGAAGACAGCAAAUACAAGUGCUGUACGAGACUGUUUUCAGCUAGAUUCGAUUGUUUCUGCUUCUGCUCAGUCUGUAUCGUCUGCAUAUCUGGACUCCUAUGGGAACCACUACCAGUCUUGUGGAUCAUCUCAAAUGGCACUGCAAAUCUGAAAUUUAUUUGCUUUCUGGUCUCAGUAUUUGUUUUAGAUUCAGUUCCAGCUAAUGGAAAAAUAUCAGCCCAAAGUUUGCUAUUGACACACGCCAAGUGAUCUUCAUGUGGUGAGAUGGAAUUGUGAUCAGCCGUAUGGGAAAUUUCUGAUAAUUGUAACUGAUACCCGCGAGCCCAACUCAUUUGAAAAUCUUUCAGGUGACUUGAAGCAAGGAGCAAGCUCCCCAAUGAAAGAACGUCACCCUAGGCAAUCCAAUGGAUCUGGUGACACCUGUCAUCCCCUCAAAGAGUAGACCAUUGGUCAUUCAGCGGACUUGGGCUGACCGUGAGGCUGAACUGCACGGCAAUGCUCACAAGAAAGAAAAUGGCCUCCGAACUGCACAGUACGAGAAGUGCCUUCAUUUAAAAUGUUGACGAAGAGACCAUGUUUGUGCCAUCAUUAGAGCUCUUCAACUCUCCCCCGAAACCAGGAACGAUCGCCGAACGAGAACACGCCAAGUGGCUGAAUGCUGUCCCACUAGAGAACAACCCGUACAGCGCGGAGAACCUGACGAAACGAGCCUCCCUCGGGAGGAAGGACUCUAUCCUGUCGAACCCUGCAGCAGCCCAUGAACAGGAUGAUGUGGAAGACGAAAAUCCUUCUCUCCUCCUGUGCUCCCAGCUGCUUGUGUACGGGACUAUUACAUCAACAACCCCAGACUCCUGGCAAGAGCUGAGGCUUUACCACAGAGGUUCCCAUCUGAGAUAGAGAGUUGCGAAGAAAGGUGCAUUCCUUCGAAGAACAGAUGUACUCCACCCCUCGCAUGGCAUUCAGUCCAACCUUUCAGCGACAACAAGUGAGGUCCAACUCUCCGCCUCCUCUUCCAGAGACUCCUCCUCCAGGCAUCACACAGAUGACUGCCAGCAAGUUUGAAUCCGGUAUUGAAGUGACAGGCGAAAGAUGGCAGUAGAAGAGGAUCUGUCUUUGCCUUCUGUGAGGGAACUGGUGUUGAAAUUUGCCAGUCCAUCAACGCAGUCCUCCUUGGAUGUUCCAUUGGAAACAACCAGCCCGUGGUAGAUUAUUUCGCAGUGAUUUCAAAUAUGACCACCAGCAUGUACAGUUGAAAUGUUCGACUAUGUCUAUAAAACGAGGCACUUUGAAUUUUGGAUCCCUAAAAAAUUUAGACAAUGAUUUGUCUCCGUAGGGCAUUCUCCCAGAGAAAGCCAUCAUUCUGGAAGAAAAGGAGAGUGGAUCAUGUGAUCAACUCAAGACUUGGAAUAUGAGCAAGGAUGCCAGGAAACCUGAGCCAUUGCCCAGAAAGAAAUUGCCAGACAAUGUAAGUAAUGUAAUGUGCAAUAGAAAGGAAAUGACUACACACAAGCUCAGCUUGUCCGCCAGUUAUUUUUUCGUGUCUCCCUAAAUGCUAAGUGCACACAUUCCCAGAUCCACAGCCUGACAGCACGCAGCCUGUCCCGGGAAUUUCGUGAGCAUGCUCAGAAGAACCUGGUUCCCAGACAGAUGAACCGGUCGCACCUUGCUCCUCCUUCAGCCACGUCAUCAAUAGACACUGUCCUGUCGUCCUCCACUGAAAAGUGUACCGUGGGAGGUGACACUACGCCUGGCUAUGCAUCCGACGAGAGCUCCACCAGCUCUGCAGGCACCCCUGUAGCACGGGUCAUUGGGGCCAAACGGAGGCAGGCGCGCAACCUCCUUCAACGAGCGUCUUACUGGGAAAGACGGGCGGAACAAGGCCUGCUCUCGGACAGUUCGUGACGGAAGAAUUUCCGCAGGAAGCAGAAGUGCGUGCUAAAGUGUGAAAGUUUGUGGGAUGUUUUUGAAACAUCACACGUCGUCGUCUGUGUACAAAGGGGUUAUGAAAGAACUUGCGACGACAUAAUGGGGGAAAGAUUUGUAAUCAGCCGAAUAACACUAGUGUCCUUGGCUGAGGCUCCACCGCCAGGUUAAUGUACGAACACCCUUGUGUGGUGUUUUAGCAGCAGGUACUUAACUCAGGUGAGACUUUGUUUACUGCUCCGCAUUCCUACCUGUUCCUCCGUGCCAUCAUGAUAACAUCCGCAUUUCUGUUCUUUUUUUAGAGUCGCAAUGUUUGGUUGAAUUAUUUUUAUUUUGCACCGAGUGAGUUUUGGAGCAAUCUAUGUGCGCUAGAUACUUCAGAAGUAUUGUAGUCGAUGAUUUGCGAACAUUAUCUUUCCACACAGUAAUGGGCUACAAAGUAUAUGCCAGCAACCUGUACUUGAGAACAGAACCACAUUUGUAGCAUGUGGAAAAGAAUGGCAACUAAGAAAUGGUGAAGACUGAGCAUGCAGAGACGUGCGUGCGACAAAAAUUUGAUGGCCAACUGAUUACUCGUGUGAGGGUCAACACAUUAUGUGUCUUCCUUGUUCUCUUUUUCAGCAGGUACAUUUCACCUAAUUUUUGUGGUACACAAAAUGACAGGAGCAGCCACUAAAACACUGCAAAGCUCAUUCUGCUAACAGAACA